GUGCUUCCUUAGGCAGCACAUAUAAUAAAACUGAAAUAAUGUAGAUAGAGAUUGGCAUGGCAUCUGCACAAAUUCAUGAAGUGUUCUUUAUUUUU
rnacentral:snRNA from 1 species